UUUACUAAAGAGUUUGAUCCUGGCUCAGGACGAACGCUGGCGGCACGCUUAACACAUGCAAGUCGAACGGAGAAUGUUUGAGUUUACUUAGACAUUCUUAGUGGCGGACGGGUGAGUA
rnacentral:rRNA from 1 species